CCUCCCGAGUGCUUGCACUCAAUUGGAAAGAGGAGUGGCGGACGGGUGAGUAACACGUGGGUAACCUACCCAUCAGAGGGGGAUAACACUUGGAAACAGGUGCUAAUACCGCAUAACAGUUUAUGCCGCAUGGCAUAAGAGUGAAAGGCGCUUUCGGGUGUCGCUGAUGGAUGGACCCGCGGUGCAUUAGCUAGUUGGUGAGGUAACGGCUCACCAAGGCCACGAUGCAUAGCCGACCUGAGAGGGUGAUCGGCCACACUGGGACUGAGACACGGCCCAGACUCCUACGGGAGGCAGCAGUAGGGAAUCUUCGGCAAUGGACGAAAGUCUGACCGAGCAACGCCGCGUGAGUGAAGAAGGUUUUCGGAUCGUAAAACUCUGUUGUUAGAGAAGAACAAGGACGUUAGUAACUGAACGUCCCCUGACGGUAUCUAACCAGAAAGCCACGGCUAACUACGUGCCAGCAGCCGCGGUAAUACGUAGGUGGCAAGCGUUGUCCGGAUUUAUUGGGCGUAAAGCGAGCGCAGGCGGUUUCUUAAGUCUGAUGUGAAAGCCCCCGGCUCAACCGGGGAGGGUCAUUGGAAACUGGGAGACUUGAGUGCAGAAGAGGAGAGUGGAAUUCCAUGUGUAGCGGUGAAAUGCGUAGAUAUAUGGAGGAACA
rnacentral:rRNA from 1 species